rnacentral:rRNA from 1 species
CCUACGUGAGGCAGCAGUGAGGAAUAUUGGUCAAUGGGCGGAAGCCUGAACCAGCCAAGUAGCGUGCAGGAUGACGGCCCUACGGGUUGUAAACUGCUUUUAUACGGGAAUAACGCGCCUUACGUGUAGGUCUUUGCAUGUACCGUAUGAAUAAGGACCGGCUAAUUCCGUGCCAGCAGCCGCGGUAAUACGGAAGGUCCGGGCGUUAUCCGGAUUUAUUGGGUUUAAAGGGAGCGUAGGCGGGAUGUCAAGCCAGCUGUGAAAUGUCCGGGCUCAACCCGGGCCUUGCAGGGGAAACUGGCGUGCUUGAGUCCGCGGAAGGCAGGCGGAAGUCAUCGUGUAGCGGUGAAAUGCUUAGAUAUGACGAAGAACCCCGAUUGCGAAGGCAGCUUGCUGCAGCGGAACUGACGCUGAUGCUCGAAAGCGCGGGUAUCGAACAGGAUUAGAUACCCCAGUAGUC